CAACAGGGAUUGCCUUAGUAACUGCGAGUGAAGCGGCAAAAGCUCAAAUUUGAAAUCUGACGUUUUUGACGUCCGAGUUGUAAUUUGGAGGGAUACUUCGGAGCUGGCGCUGUCCUAAGUUCUUUGGAACCAGACAUCAUAGAGGGUGAGAAUCCCGUGCCUGGGUGGCUGUCCUGCUCCAUGUGAAGUGUCUCCGACGAGUCGAGUUGUUUGGGAAUGCAGCUCAAAAUGGGUGGUAAAUUUCAUCUAAAGCUAAAUAUUGGCGAGAGACCGAUAGCGCACAAGUAGAGUGAUCGAAAGAUGAAAAGCACUUUGAAAAGAGAGUUAAACAGUACGUGAAAUUGUUGAAAGGGAAGCGCUUGAGACCAGAUUCAGCCGGCGGUCAUCAGCUACAUUUCUAUGUGGUGCACUUGCCGUCGGUUGAGCCAGCAUCGGUUUUGAUGGUGGGAUAAAGGUUUCAGGAAUGUGGCUCCUCGAUUUCGAAGAGUGUUAUAGCCUGGAGCGCAAUGCCGCCUGUCGGGAACGAAGACCGCGCUUUUGCUAGGAUGCUGGCUAAAAGGUCU
rnacentral:rRNA from 1 species